AAUAUGCUGAACGGAACCUGGCAACGCGCGAGGAUGAUAUCGCGCCCGUUGCUUUGUUCAAGAUUAGCGAUGUAUUAGCAGGUAAUCGUGUAUUCCGCAUUUCCCCACUCAUUUCGGUAGCUGGUAUUUGAUGUAUUAAAUCAGUAGCAGGCCGCAAUAACUCUGGCCGGAGGGAGACGCGUUAACCCGCGCCAACGGUCACCUGUACCAAGACGCGCAUCCCUCUCCUUCAUAGCCACCCACCCUCUCCCUCACCACCUCUCACAACUGGAAGCAGCUCAGCACAACACCCCUGCGCUCCUUGCGCAUCCCGUACUGCCCACCUCCCACCAUCACCCGCCCCCGAGCCCUCGAGCUCCACCGCGCGGUGAUGCCGCAGCGGCAGUGCGGCGCUGCAGGCUAGGUCGGGAAUCGGAGGAGGGAUUGUUGGCCGAGCUAGCUCUGGUGGCGGAGGCCGGCGGCGGGGAGCAGCGGCCGUCAAGGUGGUGUUCGGCUGGGAGCAGCGGCCGUCCACGGUGAGUCGCCGCGUCCAGAUACUCACCGGCACGCACGCCCUCGAGCUGCAGCGUGCCUCCUGGCCGGCGUUGAUGACCACCGCGGCGGCUGUUCGUCGGUGCGGGCUAGAUCGGGCGUCGGGUGGCGGAGGACUCCGGCGGGGCGCAGUGGCCGAGUCGAGGCGGCGCUUGGCCGCGGUGGGGGCGGCGCCGGCUCCGUCUUCAUCAGCUGAGAGGCCCCCGCCACAGCGGCAGUGCCGGCCCGUGCCGAAGCCGGCUUUCAAUCUGCUGUUCGAUUUCUUCCCACUUUGUCUCAGUAGUACUUUGUAUUUCUUUUUUGUUUCUGUGCAUGAUUUGGACAGAUUCAGUUGACAUGGCGAAGUUUCUUUUCGUUUCAAAGAUUCAACCUGGCUUGCAUGUUCGAUUUGUAUGCAUUUUCUUUGAUCUCAGUCCGAUCUGGUAAAGGGAUCCUAUUAUUUUCUUCCAAUCCAAAUGCUUCUGGUAAAUUGAUUCUAUUAUUUUGAUUUCAUUCCGAUCUGGUACAGACAGGUGUUGAAUGGUGUUAUUUCUUUUACCAUCAAAAUGGUUCGGCGAUGAAUUGUAUAUGUAUUUUUAUGUUGUUCAUAUACUUUCCAUAUCUCAUCGACGACUGAGCAAUCAUGUAUUUUAGUUCAUUCAUCUGAUUGACCAGUUUUGAAAAAAGAACUAAAUGCACGAUUCCAUUUUUUGGUUGUUCCCAGAUUAAUAAUUUAGAUUCCCAAUUAGUUGAAUUCUAUCUUUUUUUUUACUUUUGUUGAAUUGUUCUUUCUGAAAAUUUGAUGUUAAUUAAGAUAACCCUUUUCACUUUACGUGUGUAACUGUGUUUGCUAAUUAUUGCUUACACCAUGUUUUUCACUCUAAGUUCUGUCGAAUGCUCGAAUGCUUCCCAUCUCGAAAAAUAAUGUCAUUUCACAAUCUCUCGUUUACAUGUGUAAAGUGCUAAUUGUGCUGCUCUUGGUAGUAAGAGGGAACCAUUAGUAAAAAAUACUUGAUUUGAAUUAGUACAACAUCACAUUUUUUACAAGCUGCACCAUUAGUACAAAAUGUUCAUUUUUAUUAGUCCAAACUACUCAUUUUUUUACUUUUUGCACCAUUUAUAUAUAUAAAAGGUAUGUUUAAGAUUUUGUGUUCCAAACUAAUCAUUUUAAUGGUGUCUCGUCGAGAGCUGGUGGCCAGGGGAGAGGAUACCAGGUUGGCGCCUGCCGAUGGCAAUUAAGUGACCUCGUACAGCAUACGGCAAUCUACCAUGCACCGUGCCAAUAAAUGUCGUUAAAUGCUCGUUCAGUAUCGUACGAGGCUGCUCUGGUAUACACAUGCGUAUGCAAGAUGCUGAAAUGAAAGUCAAUCGCGUAUUCAACACACGCUAUAUUAGGUACUAAUCUCGCGGCACCAACAGACGCCGCCGAUUUCGACCUCGCGCGUUGCCAGGUUCCAAUCCGCCGGGUCGUCCACGGGAUGUGCUACUAUCAGAGAAUCAAUCAUCCCUCCCUGAUAAUGACCGUUAUAUCCAUCUACACUUGUUGCUGAUGUGGUUUACUACUUCUUUGGAUCAAAAUAUCUCGGCUGCAGUGAGGUACAUUCCAGAACUCAGGUUGAGCUUUGUUGGUUAUACUUUCGAGGGGCAAUAUUUAUUUGUUCCAAACAUCCAUGCAAUAUGUUCCGUUUGAAAAUCGGGUAUCUCUUUUGUUAACUUUUUUGACGCUUUGGAUAGGCGCGCAAUAGAACAUCAUUCAUGUGUGAAUGUUAAGAGCUACUGGGAACAAAUAAUCAACUUCACUCCACAGUGAAAAUGCUUGAAUGUUGACUGCAGUACCUCUUUGUUUGGUGCUACUUAGAAAUACAUAUCAUAAGGCCUAUGUGAAGAAUUCAGAUAGCAUGCGGUUAUUCAGAUAGAAUACACUCCAGGCUGUCAAGUUUGGGAAAAAUAAAUAGCUGAUGAAAAUUGAAAAUACCAAAUGACAUGUUUCUUUCCAAAGAGACUUUAGAUUGAGAAUUUAUUAUGUGCUUCUGGAUUUUUGGCAUGACCUGCAUAUGAAUAUUUAAUUUCAAUCUUGUUUUACAUUGCUUACAUUCCAUCUUUCUUGAAGUUGAGGACUCCAAAAAUGAUGUCUUGGCAGCAACAAACUUUCAAAGAGGUUCUCAGAGAUUUUAGUUUCUUCUUUUUCUACAUGUUUUAGGAUUACAUGCUACAUCCUUUUUCAUGUAUGGGUAUUUCAAGAUUUUGGAAAAUAUUGUGUACUGUAGAAAAAUAACCUCAAUUUUUUGACUUCGUACUGCACAUUUUGACUAUCCAGAUUAUGUAAACCUUAAUGGAUUGUUUUAUUUGUAUUGUUUCUUCCGCACAUACUUUCAGAAUGGUGAGCCAGGGGUAAGCACGUUGGUGGCCGCGGUCUUUGGCGAUGGCCAUCCUGGUGAUUGUUGUUAGUGGAGCCUCAACACAGCACCGACACUUACACUUACUGAUUAUUUCGCACAUACUUGUGCUCAUUCUUGCUCCCUGAAGUAUUUGUGGUCUAAAGCUUGAUGUCUCUUAUUUUGUCACUUACCUUGGUCCAGUUCCAGGACUAUCAACUCCAGGACUUCAUCAUCCUAUGGACAUCAAGCCGGGUACCUCUUCUGGAUUACAGCAUGCAGCAUUGGUUCCUCCGCCGACAGUACGACCGAAGCGCUGCGCUACACAUUGUUACAUUGCACAACAGAUCCAAUACAACCAGCGCCUCCAGAAGAUGAACUCAUUCUGGCCCACAACAGCGGCUGCCGGCGCUGCCGCAACGAGAUCCGCACCAUUCUUUGGUCCGAGAGGACCAUUCAACAUGGGCGUCGUGCCACCUGCUGAGGCUGCCUCCGUUCUCGUGAACCCAAUGCAGGGGAGCUACCCUGUCCGUGUCCCACUGCAAGAAACUAAGGCUCCAUCGAUCUCCGCAUCUCCUUUCCAGGCGAGCGUCUCUAAGGAUAAAGUGGCAUCCAACAGUUCCGCCGCAGCUGAAUCAAACCAAAGGAAGCAACCUCCAGCUCAUGAAGCGCAUCAGUCCUCCCCCCAUGCCAAACAUGAUGGAAGGAAAAACUCAAGGGAGCAAACAGAACAAGGAGGAUGGAGCUAGAAAGGAAAAACGAAUGGCUAGCAGAUCAUGCUCUACCUGGAACGGCGGUGAGAAAAAGGGGAGUGAUGGGAAGUGUGCUCCAACGAAGACAUACCUGGAACGGCGGCGAGAAAAAGCGGAGACACAGUUCAUGUUUUUUUUUGGUUCGGUGAUUGAUUAGACGGUUGGUACAAGGAUGAUGAUCGUGCAAUGAAGGAAAGUGUCUUCCUGGAGUGUAUCAUGAUUGAUUUGAUUCGCGGCAACAUGGCAACUUUCUUACUUAUUUUGAUGUACUUGAUAUGUGAUUGCGAUGUUACCAUAUUUUGAUGUACGUGAUCUUUAUAUACCAUAAUUUGAUGUACGUGUGAUCUUUAUAUACCAUAA